GAUGAACGCUGGCGGCGUGCCUAAUACAUGCAAGUCGAGCGAACGGACGAGAAGCUUGCUUUUCUGAUGUUAGCGGCGGACGGGUGAGUAACACGUGGAUAACCUACCUAUAAGACUGGGAUAACUUCGGGAAACCGGAGCUAAUACCGGAUAAUAUUUUGAACCGCAUUGUUCAAAAGUGAAAGACGGUCUUGCUGUCACUUAUAGAUGGAUCCGCGCUGCAUUAGCUAGUUGGUAAGGUAACGGCUUACCAAGGCAACGAUGCAUAGCCGACCUGAGAGGGUGAUCGGCCACACUGGAACUGAGACACGGUCCAGACUCCUACGGGAGGCAGCAGUAGGGAAUCUUCCGCAAUGGGCGAAAGCCUGACGGAGCAACGCCGCGUGAGUGAUGAAGGUCUUCGGAUCGUAAAACUCUGUUAUUAGGGAAGAACAUAUGUGUAAGUAACUGUGCACAUCUUGACGGUACCUAAUCAGAAAGCCACGGCUAACUACGUG
rnacentral:rRNA from 1 species